AGGAUGAAUGCUGGCGGCGCGCCUAACGACAUGCAAGUCGAGCGGAAAGGCCCUUCGGGGUACUCGAGCGGCGGACGGCUGAGUAACGCGUGGGAACAUGCCCCAAAGUGAGGAAUAACUGCCCGAAAGGGUAGCUAAUGCCGCAUAUGAUCUUAGGAUUAAAGGAUUUAUCCGCUUUGGGAGUGGCCCGCGUACGAUUAGGUAGUUGGUGAGGUAAAGGCUCACCAAGCCCACGAUCGUUAACUGGUCUGAGAGGAUGAUCAGUCAGACUGGAACUGAGACACGGUCCAGACUCCUACGGGAGCAGCAGUGAGGAAUCUUCCACAAUGGGCGAAAGCCUGAUGGAGCGACGCCGCGUGCAGGAUGAAGGCCUUCGGGUUGUAAACUGCUUUUAUAAGUGAAGAAUAUGACGGUAACUUAUGAAUAAGCACCGGCUAACUACGCGCCAGCAGCCGC
rnacentral:rRNA from 1 species